CUUUUAACUUUCUACUUUGGCAACUAGUUACCACGUUACUUCACUUAUAGGGAUUCGUAUAUAUUCCUUAUCAGAUCAUUAUCUAGCAUAUUGAAGUCCUAAUCUUCUGAACUCCUUCAAGUGGUGCUACAUUGAGUAAUUUUUUUCUACAUGCUCAACGGACUUAUAUGGAGGAUCAAUUGGUGUAGUAACUGAUUACUAAAAGCAUCUACAUCAGAUUGUUUGAGCUCGGAUGCAAGAUUUUGGACGAAACGACGUUUGAUUUUGUACGAGCAUGAGCCGCAAGAAAGGUACAGACGCCGGUGAUCCACCACUGUAGGCUCCACGUCCUGCUAUUACAGAGUGCUCAUUUUGAUUCGGAGCCCAUAUAUCGGCAGAUAUCUUUUGGGAUGUGUAUGUAUCUGUAUAUUUGACUAUUUGGGGUACGGCGGGGCCCUGUCCCGUCAUAUGUUUUCGUUUUGUAUAUGUAGAGGCCUGUAGUCAUAUAUGUGGGUCGAGGGUCCUAUAUGUGUCUGUUUGAUUACGAUUUGUGUCUUAAUGCGGUCCGUCUGUUAUGGUGGCCAAAAUGGCCCUUAUGUUUAUAUUUGUACACAUGAUCGGCGAUGUGCAUUCCGCCGCUUCUAUCUGUUCCGUUAUGAUAUUUUGGUAUGCACGACCGCUUAAGACAAGUUUUGAUUUAAAUUAUGUUUAAAAUAACUAUUGUGAACUCUGAGCUAAGUUGGAUAUGAUAAUUGGAUAUGUAAGUCUGUCUGGGUGCCCAAGUAGGGUGCCAGUCAUGGCCCACGGGGCUGGGUCGUGACAAAAGUGGUAUCAGAGCGGUUUGUCCUCGGAAUGUCUACAGGCCGUGUCUCGUAGAGUCUUGUUUAUCGGUGUGUUGUGCACCACAUCUAUAAACAGGAGGCUACAGGGCAUUUAGGGUGUUACUUUUCUUUGGAUCUUUGAUCGUGCGAUAGAGCCAACUGUAGGAAAUGAAUUCCUUUUUCUUACUAACCCUUGAUUGCAGCUGGAGAACGGUAUCGACGUAAGACAGCGAUUGAUAAUAUUGGAAGCUACACAAUACAGAGGUAAGUAAUGAUAUGAAAGAUGUAUGCUGGGUAAGGUGUUUGAAAUACGAUUGAAACAUAAAGCUGAAGGUUGAAAGGAAAAAUAAACAGGAAAGUGUAGCAGGUGUAGUUGAAUUGGGCAUGUGAGGUAAGCCUCGAUAUUUGUGUACUUCUAUUUUUAAUUGUUAGCCCCGUGUGGCUAUGAUGCGACAUGAUGUGAUAUGUAUAUACGUAUAUGUGUUGGCCCUGUGAGGCAUGGUUGGUAUUUCCUGUGUACAGGUUUUGGGAUAGUAAGAAAUACAGAGGAACCUCUGCCCAAAUUUUUCUAGAGAUAUGAAAAGAAAAAUGAGAUAUACAUUCUUAACAUAUCUUAAAGGUCGAUACCGAUAGGAUAAAUCUAUGAGGCUGGAUUAAAAGUUUCAGAGGUACCCUCCAUGUCAUUUGUAUGAAGCAUCACCCUUAUCGGAAAA